CGUGCAUCGGUGGGGUUCCUCGGCCUGGUCUGCACCCUCUCACAAUCCGGGACCCCUCGGCGGAUGUCAGAGAGCUGGUUUUGGCCUGAUCCUGCAGGCCAGGCCGAGGGACCCCACUGGUGCACG
rnacentral:pre_miRNA from 1 species